rnacentral:rRNA from 1 species
UACGUAGGGUGCAAGCGUUGUCCGGAAUUAUUGGGCGUAAAGAGCUCGUAGGCGGUGUGUCGCGUCGGCCGUGAAAACCUGCAGCUUAACUGUGGGCGUGCGGUCGAUACGGGCAUCACUGGAGUUCGGCAGGGGAGACUGGAAUUCCUGGUGUAGCGGUGAAAUGCGCAGAUAUCAGGAGGAACACCGGUGGCGAAGGCGGGUCUCUGGGCCGAUACUGACGCUGAGGAGCGAAAGCGCGGGGAGCGAACGGG